GACGAACCUUGCUAACGUUAUUCGGAAUUACUGGGCUUAAAGGGUGCGUAGGCGGUGCAGCAAGUCGGGUGUGAAAUCCUCCAGCUCAACUGGAGAACUGCGCCCGAAACUGCUGUGCUUGAGAAAGAUAGAGGUACGCGGAACUUUAGGGUGGAGCGGUGAAAUGCGUUGAUAUCGGAAGGAACAUCAGUGGCGAAAGCGACUUCCUGGACCAAUACUGACGCUCAUGUGCGAAAGCGUGGGGAGCAAACAGGG
rnacentral:rRNA from 1 species